GCCUCUGUAGCUCAGUUGGUUCGAGCACUGCACCGGAAUCGCAGGGCCGCAGCCAGGUUCGAUUCCUGGCAGGGACC
rnacentral:tRNA from 1 species